UACGGAGGGAGCUAGCGUUGUUCGGAAUUACUGGGCGUAAAGCGCACGUAGGCGGCUAUUCAAGUCGGGGUGAAAGCCCGGGGCUCAACCCCGGAACUGCCCUCGAAACUAGGUAGCUAGAAUCUUGGAGAGGUCAGUGGAAUUCCGAGUGUAGAGGUGAAAUUCGUAGAUAUUCGGAAGAACACCAGUGGCGAAGGCGACUGACUGGACAAGUAUUGACGCUGAGGUGCGAAAGCGUGGGGAGCAAACAGG
rnacentral:rRNA from 1 species